rnacentral:lncRNA from 1 species
GAGACAAACACUUUGGAAGAGUGUUCUCCUCCCCUACCCCCCAUGUCAUUGGCCUGAAACCACGGUAACCAUCUUUAGAACAUGACGGCAGCAAUGCUUCUGACAGGGUAGAUGGAAAGAAACUGAGACUUUAGUGCUUGGAACGGACUUCCCGCUGUGUUAGAGAAAAUACUUUCCUUACCUUUAAAAUUCAGUUGAGACAGCACGGCUUAAUGAGAGGUGUGUAGGUCCAUGCCCAGGAUCCAAACCUGCAAACCCCAGGCUGCUGAAGCAGAGCACUCAAAUUUAACCACUACACCACAGGGCUGGCCCUUGAAAAAAUAUUUUAUAUCUGCUAUACAGAGAACUAGAAAAGACAAAAGCUGUGCCCACGUAACUCUUCAGCACCAGCCCAUCUAUUACAAAGACAGAAAGUCAGGUUUAUGUGGGAAAACCCCUCAGGAUUCCAAGAAGACUUCAUAUCUAACAGGAAGAUGGAAGAAUUUUGUCCUAAGAGUCUCUGAAUUGUUUUUUUCACUAAUAUGUUCUAUGAAGUAACACCUUCAAUCUUUAUGAAGUAUUAAAAACUGAGGUCAUAUGAUAUCUUGAAA